CUCAAUUCAAGCCCCAGUACUAGCACAAAAACAAAAACACUACUAAGUACUCUGGGGAAAUAAUGUAAGUGUAUGAGGGUAGAAAGGACAGAGGCUCAAAAAUACAUAAAUACAAUAUGCCAAUUACAAGCAGGCAGUAACUUUUAGAGAUGAUGACGAUGUGAUUGGGCUUCAAUAGUUCCUCAAAAUUCACCUCAAGAAUUAAGCCUAAGUGGAACUAAAUUUUCUAGGUAUUUUGUGUGGCACUCCAAGAUAUGGA